rnacentral:rRNA from 1 species
GCCCAUUAGCUAGCCCUACCUCUACAAACAACAUACAAAUAUUUCUACCCCAUCAUAUACGCAACUUAUUUGACUAAACCAUUCUUUCCCCAAGUAUAGGCGAUAGAAAAGGAUCCCAGGAGCUAUAGAGAAAGUACCGCGAGGGAACGCUGAAAGAGAUAUGAAACAGACCAGUAAAGCCCAAAAAAGCAGAGAUUACCCCUUGUACCUUUUGCAUCAUGAUUUAGCUAGUAUACUUAAGCAAAGAGAACUUUAGUUUAAACCCCCGAAACCAGAGUGAGCUACUCCAAGACAGCCUAAUAUAUUAGGGCGAACCCGUCUCUGUGGCAAAAGAGUGGGACGAUCUUCGAGUAGGGGUGACAGACCUACCGAACCUGGUUAUAGCUGGUUGCCUGAGAAAUGAAUAGAAGUUCAGCCUUAAAGACUCUUGAUUCAAAUGAUUAUUCUUUUAUUUUUACCAAGGAUGAACUAUGAGAACCUUUAAGAGUUAGUCAGAGGGGGUACAGCCCCUUUGACCAAAGAUACAACUUUUCCAGGAGGGUAAAGAUCAUAAUUUCCAAGGAAUCAUGUUCUGGUGGGCUUAAGAGCAGCCAUCCUAAAAGAAAGCGUUAAAGCUCGAACACACUCCUUUCACCUAUAAUCUCGAUAACCCAGCCUUAUCCCCCGAUUUUUACCAGGCCGACCCAUGCCCCCAUGGGUGCGACCAUGCUAAUAUGAGUAAUAAGAGGACAUUGCUCCUCUCCCUGCACGUGUGUAAAUCGGAACGAACCCCCACCGAAAAUUACCGGCCCCAAAAAAAGAGGGCAGUUGGUGAAAAAAUAACAAAACAAGAAAAACACCCACACAUCGCCGUUAACCCCACACUGGUGUGCAAUCUAGGGAAAGACUAAAAGAAAAAGAAGGAACUCGGCAAACACUAACUAAGCCUCGCCUGUUUACCAAAAACAUCGCCUCUUGCAAUCCAAGAAUAAGAGGUCCCGCCUGCCCAGUGACAAUUUAGUUCAACGGCCGCGGUAUCCUAACCGUGCGAAGGUAGCGCAAUCACUUGUCUUUUAAAUGGAGACCUGUAUGAAUGGCAUAACGAGGGCUUAACUGUCUCCUUUUUCAGGUCAAUGAAAUUGAUCUUCCCGUGCAGAAGCGGGAAUUCUCACAUAAGACGAGAAGACCCUGUGGAGCUUUAGAUGUAAAACAGACCUCGUAACUUGCCUUGCAUAAAAGAUUAAAACAUAAGGGCCCUGCAACUUACAUCUUCGGUUGGGGCGACCAUGGGGUAAAAAGUAACCCCCGUGUGGACUGGGAGUAAUUCAGUAAAUUUUCCCCUUUAUCGCUCCUAUAAACUAACGAACGGCAGUUCUAGUUCUCAAAACUUUUGACCAUAAUUGAUCCGGCUAAUGCCGAACAACGAACCAAGUUACCCCAGGGAUAACAGCGCAAUCCCCUUUUAGAGCCCAUAUCGACAAGGGGGUUUACGACCUCGAUGUUGGAUCAGGACAUCCUAAUGGUGCAGCCGCUAUUAAGGGUUCGUUUGUUCAACGAUUAAAGUCCUACGUGAUCUGAGUUCAGACCGGAGUAAUCCAGGUCAGUUUCUAUCUAUGAAACAAUCUUUUCUAGUACGAAAGGACCGAAAAGAAGAGGCCCAUGCUAAAAAUACGCCUCACCCUAACCUAGUGAAACAAUCUAAACUAGACAAUAGGGAGUACCUUUAAUGUCUGAGAGCCCGACAU